rnacentral:rRNA from 1 species
ACUAUUUGUUACAUCUUUAAUUUUUACUUUAUUUUUAUUCUAUAUUUGUAAAAUGUUUUAGUUUUUUUUAAUUUUUAAAGAUGUAUAAAAUUUGGUAUUUGAACUGGAUUAGUACCCAGGUAAUCAAAAUUUAUUAAUUCGGGAGUAAAGUUUAGUUUAAACCGAAAAAAUAUUGACUGACUUUAGAUUUUUCUUUGGAACAUGUGAAUUUGGACAGUCCUCCUUAUUAGUUAAUUUUGUUGGCACAUGUAUGAUUGUUUAGUUUUUAUUAUAUUUGUGAUGCUGUUUGACUUUUAUUUUAAAACAGAUAUAUAUUUGGCUUAUAAAUUAAUUUUUCAUGUGUUACUAUUAUUAAUUUUUUUUGGAUUAUUUAUUUAGUAUUUUUUUGAAAUUGGAAAAGAAAGUAAUUGAUUUUUUAUGUUUAAAUGAAUUUAAUAA